CGCAAUGGGCGAAAGUCUGACGGAGCGACGCCGCGUGCAUGAUGAAGACCCUCUGGGUCGUAAAAAUUUUUUCCGAGGUAAUAAGUUUAGAGAAGACCUCAUGAAUAAGGGGUUGCUAAACUCGUGCCAGCAGCAGCGGUAAUACGAGUGCCCCGAGCGUUAUCCGGAAUCAUUGGGCGUAAAGGGUGUGUAGGUGGUGAUGUUAGUCCCUCGUCAAAACUCGGGGCUCAACCUGGAAUUUGCGAAAGAAACGGCACGACUAGAGGAUGGGAGGGGUGAAUGGAACUCAUGGAGUAGGGGUGAAAUCCGUUGAUAUCAUGGGGAACACCAAAAGCGAAGGCAAUUCACUGGCGCGUUCCUGACUCUCAAACACGAAAGCGU
rnacentral:rRNA from 1 species